rnacentral:misc_RNA from 1 species
GAUGAAGAACGUAGCGAAAUGCGAUAAGUAGUGUGAAUUGCAGAAUUCAGUGAAUCAUCGAAUCUUUGAACGCACAUUGCGCCCUUUGGUAUUCCAAAGGGCAUGCCUGUUCGAGCGUCAUUUGUACCCUCAAGCUUUGCUUGGUGUUGGGCGUCUUGUCUCCAGUUCGCUGGAGACUCGCCUUAAAGUAAUUGGCAGCCGGCCUACUGGUUUCGGAGCGCAGCACAAGUCGCGCUCUCUUCCAGCCAAGGUCAGCAUCCACAAAGCCUUUUUUCAACUUUUGACCUCGGAUCAGGUAGGGAUACCCGCUGAACUUAAGCAUAUCAAAAGCGGAGGA